UUUUGGAGAAAAUAAUGUUUAUUUUUAUUUCAAUAGGAGAAGCACUGUGACUUUGGUGAAUGGCCUUGGUGGGUCAUGUGAUGAACCAUGGGGCGGAUGAGUGGUGAAAGGCAUUCAGCCAACUCUGGGAAGGAUGGCUUGUUUAUUGGAGCAUGCAGGAACUUUGCUUUUGAGAGUGAGGAUGGAGCAGAAGGAAUCGGGGAUUUGAAGAGAUGUUCAGUUAAGACAAUGGACAGUCAAUGGAUUCGAGCAAAUUGUGAUCCCCGGACCAACAGCAUCAAUAUCAUCUGGGAAUGUGUUAAAAAUGCAAAUUUCGGGGCCUCAUCCCAGAUCUGCUGAAUCAGAAACUCUGGAGGCGAGGGCAAACAAUCUGGAUUUUUAACAAGCCCUCUGAGUUAUUCUAAUGUACAAAAAGUUUGAGAACUACUGGAGUAGGGAGGUAAAUAGGUAGUUCUGAGGACCCACUUGAGUUUACUAGUAACAGUCGUAAGUUUAAUGUGAAAAUAGUCUAGGUUAUAUUGAAGAAAGAAAGGGGUGAGUGAAUCGAGUGUGUACAAGGGAUUGUUUUAAAUGAAAAACCGUGAAAUCUAAGCUGCAUAAAGAAAGAAGCAAGGAACGAUGUUAAUCUGUCCAUGAUAAUAGCAGCUCCCCCUUCCCCCCCCCCCCCCCCUUUCGUGAGGAGGAUGGGCCUCAUUUCCAGGCGAGCUCCCAGGACCUGCAUGCAACUCCCAGCCAGGUUAGAAUGUGCUUGCUUUAAUCAGAACAAAACAGUCACGGUUACACAGAACAUGAUUAAUAUUUCUUAAAAUUAUAGCUGGUCCCCAAUAUUCUCUUUCUGCCCCUAAGAAUACUGCUUUCAACAGGUGUUCUUUGUAUUUUACUCUCACACCUUAUUGGCCAAAAAUUGUGGGCUCAGCCUUUAGAAGAUUCAUUUUAUAGAUCAUAAAUGUUCUAAAUGUUUAAUUCUUAAACUCAGAAUGGAGCCUGAAUUCCAGGGCUGAGUUUUGCUUCUGUUGAAGGUUAUCUAUCCACCAUCUCCAGCUGUGUGCCUGCAGAUGAGAUGCCAGGGGUCAGGUCACUCUUGUCUGGACUUGGUAAGAAAAGCCUUUGGAAUGUUUCAUUUCUCCGGACAUAAAGCUGCUUUGUGCACAAAUGUCCUGUAUUGCUGGGACACACUGUUUGUUACCCAUGGGGCAGAAAGAAGGGCAAAGAGGAACAAUAAAAAUACUAGCAACCAAGUGUGUAGUUACUUGCUAAGGUCAAUGUUAGGAUUAGGGAAGAUUACAAAAUAUGUCAAUGGCAGAAUAUAAAAAUUGUUCAUGUACUCUUUUCUGACUUUUGAAAAUGACAUUAAAAUGGGAGAGAAGGAAGGAACGGAGGAACGGAGGAAGGGAGGGCAUUGGGAUAGUGAAAACAUGAAAGGAUCAAUUGAUCCUUAGGUCCCAGUGGGUUAAAGAUUAGGUCAGUGAAAGAAUUUCUGAUACAGAUCUGAUUGAUCCCAAAUUUCAGGAAUCUUUACCUCAGCCACAUGUCUUUAUAAUAAGUGUUUCCUGACUUUAGAAUUGUAUAUCAGAGCAAAUAAUUUUGAGUCAAAAGUUUUGAAUUCAAGUCCUGCCUUUAUUGUUAUCUUGCCUUGGUUAAGUCACUUAAUUUCUCUGAACCAGUUCCAAUAUCUGUACAGUGGAACGAAAAGUACCUAAGAACUUAGCUUCACAGUUGUUCAGAUUAUGAAAUGAGAGACAAAUGUAUGAAAAUGUUUUUAUAAAAUAUGGAGUACCGUUUCCUAGUCUGUCCCUCCAUUCUUUUCAACAGGCUUCCUCCCCUUCUGUAUCCUACAUUUUGUUCACAGAGUGCAAAGAACCUUGCCUCAUGGCUGUGACAAAAGUAUGAAUCUUGUAGAAAAGUAAUAAAAGAAGUAUUCGUGA